rnacentral:rRNA from 1 species
GACGAACGCUGGCGGCGUGCUUAACACAUGCAAGUCGAACGGAAAGGCCCUGCUUUGGUGGGGUGCUCGAGGGGCGAACGGGUGAGUAACACGUGAGUAACCUGCCCUUGACUUUGGGAUAACUUCAGGAAACUGGGGCUAAUACCGGAUAGGAGCUCCUGCUGCAUGGUGGGGGUUGGAAAGUUUCGGCGGUUGGGGAUGGACUCGCGGCUUAUCAGCUUGUUGGUGGGGUAGUGGCUUACCAAGGCUUGGACGGGUAGCCGGCCUGAGAGGGUGACCGGCCACAUUGGGACUGAGAUACGGCACAGACUCGUACGGGAGGGAGCAGUGGGGAAUAUUGCACAAUGGGCGGAAGCCUGAUGCAGCACCGCCGCGUGCGGGAUGACGGGAUUCGGGUUGUAAACCGCUUUCGCCUGUGACGAAGCGUGAGUGACGGUAAUGGGUAAAGAAGCACCGGCUAACUACGUG